rnacentral:lncRNA from 1 species
CCGGCAAGGUCACCCCGCCCUCCAGUCAGCUGCCUCCUCCUAGUAAGCUAAGAAACCCCUCUUCUGAGACCUCCUUAACUCAGAGUCCCUGGAAAAAUUCUAGCGGGGUAGACAAGGGCUGAGGGCUAGGGACGCAUCGCUGGUCAGCUGGCCCUUGAUUAGUCUGAGCCCACCCAGGAGAGAAAAUUCUGGAAGAGAAGAAGCAGGGUCCAAGGAGAAGCAGGGUUUAUGGUACAGGAGUCAAACAGCAUGAGUGAUGGCAGGUCCGACCAACAGCAAGAGGACUUCUGAUGGCCCCAGAGACCCCACAGCCUCCCCUGAGGCCAGACAUGGGCAGUAAGGUCAUAGUUUCCUGAGGUAUUUCAGCCUCUGGAUCAGAACAGGACCUGCGUUGGCACCCAGCCCUUGAGCCCUUGAGCUGGAGUGCCUUGGCACUUUCAGAAACAGAUCUUUUCUCUCAACUAGAUCAUUUGGUGAGGGCAAAAAUUGCUGGGGCCCAGAAAUAGGAACCCAGACUUACUGCUUCUUAGUUGGCCACCUAAUCCCAAAUUCCCUCCAGAACCCAAAAUCCCUUUCCUUGACUAAACUCCCAGGAUUCCAAUCUCACCAUCUUUCCGCUGGUCUCUUCCUCCCUGCCUCAGCUCUCUGAAUCCCAAAAGUUCCAGUUCCCAGUCACACCCCCUUUCCCUCUGGCUAGGGUUGGCCGGAAGCUGGCUGCUCAGCAUUCUGGGAAAUCCGCCUGCCACCCUCCCUCUCAAGGCAGGUACAGACAGGUCCUAGCUGCAGCAGCUGCAUCUUCCCGAGGCACCUCGCAGACUCGAGAUGUUUUGUUCCCCCAGCCCUGGCUGCUGGGAACCGCGGAAAGCCCGGAGAUCCGGGGACGGCGAGGAGAAGGGCGGGAGGAAGCGAGAGGACCCAGGUCGCCCCCUCGCGGAGCUGGGGGUGCACGGGUGCCCUCUCCUCCCGGCUUCACCUGCUGCGGGCCC